rnacentral:rRNA from 2 species
UGCAGUCGAACGGCAGCACGGGGGCAACCCUGGUGGCGAGUGGCGAACGGGUGAGUAAUACAUCGGAACGUGUCCUGUAGUGGGGGAUAGCCCGGCGAAAGCCGGAUUAAUACCGCAUACGCUCUACGGAGGAAAGGGGGGGAUCUUAGGACCUCUCGCUACAGGGGCGGCCGAUGGCAGAUUAGCUAGUUGGUGGGGUAAAGGCCUACCAAGGCGACGAUCUGUAGCUGGUCUGAGAGGACGACCAGCCACACUGGGACUGAGACACGGCCCAGACUCCUACGGGAGGCAGCAGUGGGGAAUUUUGGACAAUGGGCGCAAGCCUGAUCCAGCAAUGCCGCGUGUGUGAAGAAGGCCUUCGGGUUGUAAAGCACUUUUGUCCGGAAAGAAAACCUCUGGGUUAAUACCCCGGGGGGAUGACGGUACCGGAAGAAUAAGCACCGGCUAACU